GACAGAGGGUGCAAACGUUGUUCGGAAUUACUGGGCGUAAAGCGCGUGUAGGCGGCCAUCUAAGUCGGGCGUGAAAUCCCACGGCUCAACCGUGGAAGUGCACUCGAAACUGGAUGGCUAGAGUCCUGGAGAGGAAGGUGGAAUGCUUGGUGUAGAGGUGAAAUUCGUAGAUAUCAAGCGGAACACCGGUGGCGAAGGCGGCC
rnacentral:rRNA from 1 species